rnacentral:tRNA from 1 species
CAGAAUAUAGUUUAGAAAAAAUAAUAAUUUUGGAGAUUGUAGAUAUAUGAUAUAUGUUAUUCUGA